GCCGAGCGUGGUGGCGGGCGCCUGUAGUCCCAGCUACUCGGGAGGCUGAGGCAGAAGAAUGGUGUGAACCCAGGAGGCGGAGCUUGCAGUGAGCCGAGAUCGCACCACUGCACUCCAGCCUGGGUGACAGAGCGAGACUCUGUCUCAAAAAAAAAAAAAAAAAAAGACAGAGUUUCACUCUGUUGCCCAGCCUGGAGUGCAGUGGCACGAUCUCGGCUUACUGCAACCUCCGCCUCCCGGGUUCAAGUGAUUCUCGUUCCUCAGCCUCCU
rnacentral:SRP_RNA from 1 species